CCUACGGGGGGCAGCAGUGAGGAAUAUUGGACAAUGGGCGCAAGCCUGAUCCAGCCAUGCCGCGUGCAGGAUGACGGUCCUAUGGAUUGUAAACUGCUUUUGUACAGGAAGAAACACUCCCUCGUGAGGGAGCUUGACGGUACUGUAAGAAUAAGGAUCGGCUAACUCCGUGCCAGCAGCCGCGGUAAUACGGAGGAUCCAAGCGUUAUCCGGAAUCAUUGGGUUUAAAGGGUCCGUAGGCGGUUUAAUAAGUCAGUGGUGAAAGCCCAUCGCUCAACGGUGGAACGGCCAUUGAUACUGUUAAACUUGAAUUAUUAGGAAGUAACUAGAAUAUGUAGUGUAGCGGUGAAAUGCUUAGAGAUUACAUGGAAUACCAAUUGCGAAGGCAGGUUACUACUAAUGGAUUGACGCUGAUGGACGAAAGCGUGGGUA
rnacentral:rRNA from 1 species